rnacentral:rRNA from 1 species
AGAGUUUGAUCAUGGCUCAGGAUGAACGCUGGCGGCGUGCCUAACACAUGCAAGUCGAACGGACUGGUAGAUAACAGAUAGCCGUUGGCUGAUAGCUUGCUAUCAGCCAUAAGCUGUCAAUCAUCAGCCGGUUAGUGGCGAACGGGUGAGUAACACGUAGGCGACCUGCCCCGAAGAGGGGGAUAACCGCUGGAAACGGCGGCUAAUACCCCAUGUGGUCAUGAGGGUUAGAGGCCUCAUGAUUAAAGCUCCGGCGCUUCGGGAGGGGCCUGCGGCCUAUCAGCUAGUUGGUGGGGUAAUGGCCCACCAAGGCAAUGACGGGUAGCUGGUCUGAGAGGAUGUACGGCCACACUGGGACUGAGAUACGGCCCAGACUCCUACGGGAGGCAGC